AAAAAAAUAUAAGCAAAAGAAGGGCAGACGGUGGAUGCCUUGGCUCUAAGAGGCGACGAAGGACGUGAUAAGCUGCGAAAAGCUGUGGGGAUCGGCAAAUACGAAAUGAUCCACAGAUAUCCGAAUGGGGCAACCCGGCAUGCGACAGCAUGUCACCUGUGAGAUAUUACAGGAGCGAACGUGGGGAACUGAAACAUCUCAUUACCCAUAGGAGAAGAAAACAAAAGUGAUUCCCUCAGUAGUGGCGAGCGAACGGGGAGGAGCCCAAACCGAUGCUGUUUCGGCAGUGUCGGGGUUGUAGGAUCUCGAAUAAAGCUUUACAACNAGGUAGUAGAAGAUUCUGGAAAGGAUCGCCAAAGCGGGUGACAGCCCCUUAUACGAAACUUUGAAGUUGGAGUGACGAGAGACCUGAGUAGCGCGGGACACGAGAAAUCCUGUGUGAAUCCGGGAGGCCCAUCUCCCAAGGCUAAAUACUCCUUAGAGACCGAUAGUGAACAAGUACUGUGAAGGAAAGGUGAAAAGAACCUCGAACAGAGGAGUGAAAUAGAUCCUGAACCCGUUUGCCUACAAGCGGUCGGAGCACUUUAAGGUGUGACGGCGUGCCUUUUGCAUAAUGAACCUACGAGUUACUUUACGCAGCGAGGAUAAGACUUAUAAGAGUUGUAUCCGUAGCGAAAGCGAGUUUUAAAUGGCGUACAGUUGCGUGAAGUAGACGCGAAACCAAGUGAUCUACCCUUGGCCAGGCUGAAGUUUGGGUAACACCACAUAGAGGGCCGAACCGGUUGACGUUGAAAAGUCUUCGGAUGAGCUGAGGGUAGGGGUGAAAGGCUAAUCAAACUUGGAGAUAGCUCGUACUCCCCGAAAUGCAUUUAGGUGCAGCCUUUGGGCGGAGCUGUAAGAGGUAGAGCGACUGAUUGGAUGCGAGGGCUUCGCCGCCUAUCAAGUCCAGACAAACUCCGAAUGCUUACAGGCUUACCAAGGAGUGAGGGCAUGGGUGCUAAGGUCCAUGUCCGAGAGGAGAAUAAUCCGGACCAUCGGCUAAGGUCCCGAAAUAACUGCUAAGUUGAAACAAACGCGGUCAUGAUGCGAAGACAGCUAGGAUGUUGGCUUGGAAGCAGCCAUUCAUUUAAAGAGUGCGUAACAGCUCACUAGUCGAGGAUCGUGGCAUGGAUAAUACUCGGGCAUAAGCAGUUUACCGAAGCCGUGGGAUCAGUAGUGAUCGGUAGGGGAGCAUUCCGGCGUGGUAGAAGAUCGAGGGACAACUUCGGUUGGACAUUCCGGAAGAGCAAAUGUAGGUAUAAGUAACGAUAAAGGGGGCGAGAACCCCCCUCGCCGAAAGACUAAGGUUUCCUGAUCAACGCUAAUCGGAUCAGGGUUAGUCGGGGCCUAAGAGGAACCCGGACAAGGGGCACUCGAUGGACGAACGGGUUAAUAUUCCCGUACUGAUAUAUUCCAGUGAUGAGGUGACGGAGAAGUGACAGUCCUGCCCGGAGACGGAAAACCGGGUUGAACGGCAAAGACGCAGAUCGAGGUAGGCAAAUCCGCCUCGAGAGUUGAAGCCGGAAAGAAUGGGAAGCCCUUCGGGGCGCCCCAAUAUGGAUGUAAUCAAGCUCCCAAGAAAACCCUCUAAGCGCUAUGACGAAUGUAUCACCCGUACCGUAAACCGACACAGGUGGUUGGGUUGAGUAUACUAAGGCGCUCGAGCGAUUCGCGGUUAAGGAACUAGGCAAAUUGGUCCUGUAACUUCGGGAAAAAGGACGCCGGUAUGGGGACAUACCGGUCGCAGAGAAUAGGCCCAGGCGACUGUUUAACAAAAACACAAGGCUAUGCGAAAAAGAAAUUUGAAGUAUAUAGUCUGACACCUGCCCGGUGCUGGAAGGUUAAGAGGAGAUGUCAUCGCAAGAGAAGCAUUGAAUUGAAGCCCCAGUAAACGGCGGCCGUAACUAUAACGGUCCUAAGGUAGCGAAAUUCCUUGUCGGGUAAGUUCCGACCUGCACGAAUGGUGUAACGAUCUGGGCACUGUCUCAAUCGCGAACUCGGUGAAAUUGUAGUAUCGGUGAAGAUGCCGAUUACCCGCAACGGGACGAAAAGACCCCGUGAACCUUUACUAUAGCUUUACAUUGUAUUUGGGUAAUGAAUGUGUAGGAUAGGCCGGAGACUGAGAGAUGGGUACGCCAGUAUUCAUGGAGUCGCUGUUGAAAUACGGCCCUUUUGUUAUUUGGAUACUAACUCUCAGGAGAGAGGACACUGUAUGGUGGGUAGUUUGACUGGGGUGGUCGCCUCCAAAAGCGUAACGGAGGCUUCUAAAGGUACCCUCAGGCCGAUUGGUAACCGGCCCGUGAGUGUAAUGGCAUAAGGGUGCUUGACUGGGAGACAAACAAGUCGCACAGGAAGGAAACUUGAGCAUAGUGAUCCGGUGGUUCCGUGUGGAAGGGCCAUCGCUCAAAGGAUAAAAGGUACUCCGGGGAUAACAGGCUGAUCGCUCCCAAGAGCUCAUAUCGACGGAGCGGUUUGGCACCUCGAUGUCGGCUCGUCACAUCCUGGGGCUGGAGAAGGUCCCAAGGGUUGGGCUGUUCGCCCAUUAAAGUGGCACGCGAGCUGGGUUCAGAACGUCGUGAGACAGUUCGGUCUCUAUCUGUUGUGGGCGCAGGAUAUUUGCGAGGAUCUGACACUAGUACGAGAGGACCGUGUUGGACGUACCACUGGUUCAUCAGUUGUAUCGCCAGGUGCAUAGCUGAGUAUCCACGUACGGGAAGAAUAAGUGCUGAAAGCAUCUAAGCACGAAGUCGACCUCAAGAUUAGAUAUCCNGUAC
rnacentral:rRNA from 1 species